rnacentral:rRNA from 1 species
AUUGAACGCUGGCGGCAUGCUUUACACAUGCAAGUCGAGCGGUAACAGGCCGCAAGGUGCUGACGAGUGGCGAACGGGUGAGUAAUGCAUCGGAACGUGCCCAGCCGUGGGGGAUAACUACUCGAAAGAGUAGCUAAUACCGCAUACGAUCUAUGGAUGAAAGCGGGGGACCGUAAGGCCUCGCGCGAUUGGAGCGGCCGAUGUCAGAUUAGGUAGUUGGUGGGGUAAAGGCUCACCAAGCCAACGAUCUGUAGCUGGUCUGAGAGGACGACCAGCCACACUGGGACUGAGGCACGGCCCAGACUCCUACGGGAGGCAGCAGUGGGGAAUUUUGGACAAUGGGCGCAAGCCUGAUCCAGCAAUGCCGCGUGCAGGAAGAAGGUCUUCGGGUUGUAAACUGCUUUUGUACGGAACGAAACGGCUCUGGUUAAUACCCGGGGCUAAUGACGGUACCGUAAGAAUAAGCACCGGCUAACUACGUG